rnacentral:lncRNA from 1 species
AUCCCAAGCAUCUUCGGCGGCCGCCGCAGCAACGUCUUCGACCCCUUCUCCCUCGACAUCUUCGACCCCUUCCACGACUUCCCCAACGUCCUCUCCACCGCUGCCGGCGGCGGACAGAACGAAGCCACGGCGAUCGCCAACAUGCGGAUCGACUGGAAGGAGACGCCGGAGGCGCACGUGUUCAAGGCGGACAUGCCGGGGCUGAAGAAGGAGGAGGUGAAGGU